AUCUCUUUGCCUUUUGGCUUAGAUCAAGUGUAGUAUCUGUUCUUUUCAGUGUAACAACUGAAACGUCAUCAUUGAUGACUUUUAUAAAAUGUUACCUUUAUUUUUGGAUUAUUCGUUCGAAGGAUUGAUAAGCUUGCUUACACCUUUGGACACAGUGUCGUUGCUAUUGCACCAUAUUGGCUUCUGACGCAAUUUUUU
rnacentral:snRNA from 14 species